AGGGUGGUGGGCAGACUUGGGAUUGGGGAACGGGUCAAACUCGUACGGGAGGCUGCUGUGUGGAUUAUUGCGCAAGAGGGGAAAGACUGGUGCAGCAACGCUGGGCGGUGGAUGAAGUCCUUCGGGUCGUAAAGCUCUGUCCUCAAGGAAGAGAAUGACGUUACUUGAGGAGGAAGCCCCGGUUAACUACGUGCCAGCAGCCGCGGUAAUACGUAGGGGGCUAGCGUUAUCCGGAUUUAGUGGGCGUAAAGGGUGCGUAGGCGGUCUUUCAAGUCAGGAGUGAACGGCUACGGCUCAACCGUAGUAAGCCCGUGAAACUGGGAGACUUGAGUGCAGGGGCGGAGAGUGGAAUUCCUAGUGUCGCGGUGAAAUGCGUAGAUAAUAGGAGGAACACCAGUUGCGAAGGCGGCUCGCUGGACUUGAAAGGGAGCGGAGAGAGCGAUGACGGGGGGGCACACAGGGUUAGUUACCCUGG
rnacentral:rRNA from 1 species